UUAAGCAUAUCAAUAAGCGGAGGAAAAGAAACUAACAAGGAUUCCCCUAGUAACUGCGAGUGAAGCGGGAAGAGCUCAAAUUUGAAAUCUGGCAGUUCUUUGACUGUCCGAGUUGUAAUCUAGAGAAGUGCUGCCUGUGCUGGACCAUGUACAAGUCUCCUGGAAUGGAGCAUCACAGAGGGUGAGAAUCCCGUCUUUGACAUGGACUACCUGUACAUUAUGGUGUGCUCUCAAAGAGUCGAGUUGUUUGGGAAUGCAGCUCAAAAUGGGUGGUAAAUGCCAUCUAAAGCUAAAUAUUGGCGAGAGACCGAUAGCGAACAAGUACCGUGAGGGAAAGAUGAAAAGAACUUUGGAAAGAGAGUUAAACAGUACGUGAAAUUGCUGAAAGGGAAACGCUUGAAGUCAGUCGCGUUGGCUAGAAAUCAGCCUUGCUUUUGCUUGGUGUACUUUCUGGUUGAUGGGUCAGCAUCAAUUUUGACCAUUGGAUAAAGUCUUUGGGAAUGUGGCAUCUUUGGAUGUGUUAUAGCCCAUUGUCACAUACGAUGGUUGGGAUUGAGGAACUCAGCACGCCGCAAGGCCGGGUUUCGACCACGUUCGUGCUUAGGAUGCUGGCAUAAUGGCUUUAAUCGACCCGUCUUGAAACACGGACCAAGGAGUCUAACAUGCCUGCGAGUGUU
rnacentral:rRNA from 1 species